GGACUCUAUUGAGGCCCCGUAAUCGGAAUGAGUACACUUUAAAUCCUUUAACAAGGAUCCAUUGGAGGGCAAGUCUGGUGCCAGCAGCCGCGGUAAUUCCAGCUCCAAUAGCGUAUAUUAAAGUUGUUGCGGUUAAAAAGCUCGUAGUUGGUUCUGCGUGCCGCGCUGUCGGUUCGCCGCCUGUCGGUGUAACUGGCAUGUCGCGGCAUGUCCUGUCGGUGGUGAAUGAGGUCCAUAGUACUGCAUAGGCUUUCUUUAGCCGAUGUUAGUGCUGUGUGUAUUUUUGUUUACCGAUCUCUCCUACUCCGGUGCUCUUAAACGAGUGUCGAGGUAGGCCGACACGUUCACUUUGAACAAAUUAGAGUGCUUAAAGCAGGCUGAAAUAUCUGCCUGAAUAGUGGUGCAUGGAAUGAUAAAACAGGACCUCAGUUCUAUUUUGUUGGUUUUAGGAAUAUGAGGUAAUGAUCAAUAUGGACUGGCGGGGGCAUUCGUAUUGCGACGUUAGAGGUGAAAUUCUUGGAUCGUCGCAAGACGCACUAGAGCGAAAGCAUUUGCCAAGUAUGUCUUAAUUGAUCAAGAACGAAAGUUAGAGGUUCGAAGGCGAUCAGAUACCGCCCUAGUUCUAACCAUAAACGAUGCCAGCCAGCGAUCCGC
rnacentral:rRNA from 1 species